rnacentral:tRNA from 1 species
CGCGGCCCGGGACGGUGUCCCGGGCCGCUUCUCGUGUGCCCGGUACGCCGGCCGACGAGAAGCGGCCCGGAGCUCAUGGCUCCGGGCCGCCG